rnacentral:lncRNA from 1 species
AACUGAGCUGCUUUGUGCUCAGAAUCUACAUUCCAGAUUGAGGAUUUAGUGUCUUAGGAAAUUUUUUUAAUUUUUUUUUUUUAAAGAAGAAAAAAAACUACAUAAUUUCUACCAGGGCCAUAUUAGCAGUGAAACAUUUUAAACUGCAGAAAUUGUGGUUUUGGUUCAGAAACAAGUUGUAUAUUUUUCACCCCUGAUUAUGGGAAAAAAAUCAGUUCUGUCUUUGUGGGUUGCUCUACUAUGGAGAUCAACAGUUACUGUGACUGAGUCGGCCCAUUCUGUUUAGAAAUAUAUUUUAAAUGUUUAGUAAUUGACAUGUGUGGUUGUCCUUGAUUAAGUUCACAGAUUUCACCAAAUAGGCACACUAAUUUAAAAAAUCACUGAGUUGUAGUCAUAACUUGUACCCAGUUAGGAGCAGGGGUAGAUAACUUUAUUUAUAUGGGGAUAGACAGUUGCUCUGAUGUUGGUUUGAGAACGUAAACUCCAAGAGCGGGUUCUGGGUUCUCUUUUAAUUCAAGGCCAAGCUUGUAAAUUAGGCUGCCUUAAAGAAAAAAGCAUUGCAGAUAAAGGAAGGGAAUGGGAAAAAUAAACACACGGUGGCUUUUGCCUGUGAUCCUAGCCCUUUGGGAGGCCAAGGCAUGCCAGAGGAUCCCUUGAGGCCAGGAGUUCACGACCAGAUAGGCAACAUAGCAAAACCCCCACCUCUACUUAAAAAAAAAUUAACUGGACGUGGUGAUGCACAUAUGUAGUCCCAGUUACUUAGGAGGCUGAGGUGGGAGGAUCACUUGAGCCCAGGAGUUGGAGGCUGCAGUGAUCUGUCACCACUGCACUCCAGCCUGGCUAAUUUUUUGUAUUUUUAGUAGAGAUGAGGUUUCACCGCAUUAGCCAGGAUGGUCUUGAUCUCCUGACCUUGUGAUCCGCCCGUCUCAGCCUCCCAAAGUGCUGGGAUUACAGGAGUGAGCCACUGCGCCCAGCCCACUUUUAUCCCUAAAUAAGUUUCAUUUAUCCUUGGUAUCUGAGUUUUAUCCUGGACUCAUCUCAAUUUAAUAAU